AACCAUAGAAACCUGCGGAGUACCUGCGGAGGGAUCAUUAUAGUAUAUGGAAUCUCCAUUCUAUAAACCCACUCUGCGUAUCUUGUAACUGUUGCUUCCAUGGGACUUGGUUCCGCCACACCGGCUUCACGGCUGUGAGCGCCCAUGGAAGGAGAAACAAAACUCUUCUUUGAAAUGUAGUCAGUCUGAACAAGUUUUUAUAAACGUUAAAACUUUUAACAAUGGAUCUCAGAUCGGAAG
rnacentral:misc_RNA from 1 species